GGGGUUGUGGCUCAGCGGUAGAGCACUCGCCUUGCACGUGAAAGACCCUGGGUUCUAUCCUCAGCACCACA
rnacentral:tRNA from 1 species